rnacentral:tRNA from 1 species
AGCAGUGUGGCACAGUGGUAAGGAGCAGGGCUCAUAACCAACAGGUUGCCGGUUCCAUUCCCUGCUACUGCCG